rnacentral:rRNA from 1 species
CGUAGGGGCGGAGCGUUGUCCGGAAUUAUUGGGGCGUAAAGACGCGCGCAGGCGGUCCCUUAAGUCUGAUGUGAAAAGCCCACGGCUUAACCGUGGAGGGGUCAUUGGAAACUAGGGGGGCGUUGAGUGCAGAAGAAGGAGAGCGGAAAUUCCACGUGUAGCGGUGAAAAUGCGUAGAGAUGUGGAGGAACACCAGUGGCGAAGGCGGCUCUCUGGUCUGUAACUGACGCUGAAGGCGCGAAAGACGUGGGGGAGCAAACAGGAUU